rnacentral:rRNA from 1 species
CCUACGGGUGGCAGCAGUGGGGAAUAUUGCUCAAUGGGGGAAACCCUGAAGCAGCAACGCCGCGUGGGGGAAGAAGGUCCUCGGAUUGUAAACCCCUUUUUGCAGGGAAGAAAAUGACGGUAUCUGUCGAAUAAGCACCGGCUAACUCCGUGCCAGCAGCCGCGGUAAUACGGAGGGGGCCAGCGUUAUGCGGAAUCACUGGGCGUAAAGCGGGCGUAGGCGGGGUAGCAAGUCAGGUGUGAAAUCCUGGGGCUUAACCCCCGAAAUGCAGUUGAAACUGUUCGGCUAGAGUGUGGGAGGGGUAGGUGGAAUUCGUGGUGUAGCGGUGAAAUGCGUAGAGAUCAAGAGGAAUAC